rnacentral:rRNA from 1 species
UACGUAGGUGGCAAGCGUUGUCCGGAUUUACUGGGCGUAAAGAGCGCGCAGGCGGUCGUUCAAGUCGCGUGUGAAAGCCCCCGGCUCAACUGGGGAGGGUCAUUCGAUACUGAUCAACUUGAAGGCAGGAGAGGGUAGUGGAAUUCCCGGUGUAGUGGUGAAAUGCGUAGAGAUCCGGAGGAACACCAGUGGCGAAAGCGGCCACCUGGACUGCACCUGACGCUGAAACGCGAAAGCUAGGGGAGCGAACGGG